UACGGAGGAUGCGAGCGUUAUCCGGAUUUAUUGGGUUUAAAGGGUGCGUAGGCGGUCCGUUAAGUCAGCGGUAAAAUUGCGGGGCUCAACCCCGUCGAGCCGUUUGAACUGGCGCGCUUGAGUUCAGGCGAGGUAGGCGGAAUUCGUGGUGUAGCGGUGGAAUGCGUAGAUAUAUGGAAGAACACCAGUGGCGAAGGCGGCUCUCUGGUCUGCAACUGACGCUGAGGCUCGAAAGCAUGGGUAGCGAACAGG
rnacentral:rRNA from 1 species